UUCUGCUGCUCGCAGGUGACUCCAUUUACAGAGAUAACAAAUCGCAACCAACAAACGGAGACAAGAUGGAGUGGCGGUGACUUGGAUAGCAACGACAUCCAUUGGGCGACUUGGACAACAACAACAAUUUCACUGAAACUAAAGUCUGGGUCUUAUGGAUUGUGUGUCAACAAUUUCUAUAUCUUUCUUUUUAGCCAACUUUGCGGCCUUGUCCUUCCCCCAUUCCGCUUUCUUGCAUUUCCUAAUCAUUUCUCUCUCCUUCACCCUUCAUCUUCACAAGGGUUCGAGAGAUCUUCAAGCAGGUAGGAAAUUUUUGGCUGCUCUAGUUGAAGAUUGGACAACUAGUGGAUACUUGUAUCAAACAACGCUUGAUGGCUUAUUGCUUAUUAAAAGCAAAAGAUAUGGACACACAUGGUGUAAUUAGCUUUAGGGUAGGCAUUACAGAAAUUGCCGAACCAUUUAAUUGUAUUCUGAACUUAUGUUUUGUAUUUCUUUGAACUUAUGUCGAACCAUUUAAUUGUAUUCUGAACUUAUGCCGAACCAUUGAUUCUGAACUUAUGCCAAACCAUUGAUUCUGAACUUAUGUCAAACCAUUGAUUCUGAACUUAUUCCUGCCGAACCAUUUAAUUGUAUUCUUGAAGUUGAUCAUUUGUGA